GUCGAACGGCAGCACGGGGGCAAUCCUGGUGGCGAGUGGCGAACGGGUGAGUAAUAUAUCGGAACGUGUCCAUGAGUGGGGGAUAGCCCGGCGAAAGCCGGAUUAAUACCGCAUAAGACCUGAGGGUGAAAGCGGGGGAUCUUCGGACCUCGCGCUGAUGGAGCGGCCGAUACCAGAUUAGGUAGUUGGUGAGGUAAAGGCUCACCAAGCCUGCGAUCUGUAGCUGGUCUGAGAGGAUGGCCAGCCACACUGGGACUGAGACACGGCCCAGACUCCUACGGGAGGCAGCAGUGGGGAAUUUUGGACAAUGGGCGCAAGCCUGAUCCAGCCAUGCCGCGUGCGGGAAGAAGGCCUUCGGGUUGUAAACCGCUUUUGUCAGGGAAGAAAUCCUUUGGGUUAAUAACUCGGAGGGAUGACGGUACCUGAAGAAUGAGCACCGGCUAACUACGUGCCAGCAGCCGCGGUAAUACGUAUGGUGGCAGCGUUAAUCGGAAUUACUGGGCGUAA
rnacentral:rRNA from 1 species